GACGAACGCUGGCGGCGUGCUUAACACAAGCAAGUCGAACGGAAAGGCCCUGCUUUUGUGGGGUGUUCGAGUGGCGAACGGGUGAGUAACACGUGAGUAACCUGCCCUUGACUUUGGGAUAACUUCAGGAAACUGGGGCUAAUACCGGAUAGGAGCUCCUGCUGCAUGGUGGGGGUUGGAAAGUUUCGGCGGUUGGGGAUGGACUCGCGGCUUAUCAGCUUGUUGGUGGGGUAGUGGCUUACCAAGGCUUUGACGGGUAGCCGGCCUGAGAGGGUGACCGGCCACAUUGUGACUGAGGUACGGCCCAGACUCCUACGGGAGGCAGCAGUGGGGAAUAUUGCACAAUGGGCGGAAGCCUGAUGCAGCAACGCCGCGUGCGGGAUGACGGCCUUCGGGUUGUAAACCGCUUUCGCCUGUGACGAAGCGUGAGUGACGGUAAUGGGUAAAGAAGCACCGGCUAGCUACGUG
rnacentral:rRNA from 1 species